rnacentral:rRNA from 1 species
CUACGGAAGGCAGCAGUUUCGAAUCAUUCACAAUGGGCGAAAGCCUGAUGGUGCGACGCCGCGUGAGGGAUGAAGGCCUUCGGGUUGUAAACCUCUGUCACUGGGGAAGAAACGCUUCAAGUUAAUAGCUUGAAGCCUGACUUAACCCGGAGAGGAAGCAGUGGCUAACUCUGUGCCAGCAGCCGCGGUAAUACAGAGACUGCAAGCGUUAUUCGGAUUCACUGGGCGUAAAGGGUGCGCAGGCGGCCAAGUGUGUGAGGUGUGAAAGCCCGGGGCUUAACCCCGGAAUUGCACCUCAAACUACUUGGCUAGAGCAUUGGAGAGGGUAGCAGAAUUCACGGUGUAGCAGUGAAAUGCGUAGAUAUCGUGAGGAAUACCAGAGGCGAAGGCGGCUACCUGGACAAUUGCUGACGCUCAGGCACGAAAGCGUGGGGAGCAAAAGGGAUUAGAAACCCCGGUAGUCCG